CAGCCGCCACGGUAAUACGUAGGGUGCAAGCGUUAAUCGGAAUUACUGGGCGUAAAGCGUGCGCAGGCGGUUUGUUAAGACAGAUGUGAAAUCCCCGGGCUCAACCUGGGAACUGCAUUUGUGACUGGCAAGCUAGAGUCUGGCAGAGGGGGGUGGAACUCCGCGUGUAGCAGUGAAAUGCGUAGAUAUGCGGAGGAACACCGAUGGCGAAGGCAGCCCCCUGGGCCAACACUGACGCUCAUGCACGAAAGCGUGGGGAGCAAACAGGAUUAGAGACCCCUGUAGUCCCUGUCUCUUAUAA
rnacentral:rRNA from 1 species